UGGGGAAUUUUGGACAAUGGGCGAAAGCCUGAUCCAGCAAUGCCGCGUGUGUGAAGAAGGCCUUCGGGUUGUAAAGCACUUUUGUCCGGAAAGAAAUCCUCUGGGUUAAUACCUCGGGGGGAUGACGGUACCGGAAGAAUAAGCACCGGCUAACUACGUGCCAGCAGCCGCGGUAAUACGUAGGGUGCAAGCGUUAAUCGGAAUUACUGGGCGUAAAGCGUGCGCAGGCGGUUUGCUAAGACCGAUGUGAAAUCCCCGGGCUCAACCUGGGAACUGCAUUGGUGACUGGCAGGCUAGAGUAUGGCAGAGGGGGGUAGAAUUCCACGUGUAGCAGUGAAAUGCGUAGAGAUGUGGAGGAAUACCGAUGGCGAAGGCAGCCCCCUGGGGCCAAAUACUGACGCUCAUGCACGAAAGCGUGGGGGAGCAAACAGGAUUAGAUACCCUGGUAGUCCACGCCCUAAACGAUGUCAACUAGUUGUUGGGGAUUCAUUUCCUUAGUAACGUAGCUAACGCGUGAAGUUGACCGCCUGGGGAGUACGGUCGCAAGAUUAAAACUCAAAGGAAUUGAC
rnacentral:rRNA from 1 species